UACAGAGGUCUCAAGCGUUGUUCGGAUUCAUUGGGCGUAAAGGGUGCGUAGGCGGCGCGGUAAGUCGGGUGUGAAAUCUCGGGGCUUAACUCCGAAACUGCAUUCGAUACUGCCGUGCUUGAGGACUGGAGAGGAGACUGGAAUUUACGGUGUAGCGGUGAAAUGCGUAGAUAUCGUAAGGAAGACCAGUGGCGAAGGCGCUACACUAGAACGGCUCUGACAGUGAGGGACGAAGCCCUGGGGCGCAAACCGG
rnacentral:rRNA from 1 species